AAGGGAGGCCUGCCUGAGAAUGGAGGCUGCGGCUCAGAGCGCUGCGUGCCGGAUCUUAGUUCCCUGACCAGGGAUUGAACCCAUUGCCCCCUGCGGUGGAAAAGCGGAAUCUUAACCACUGGACGGCCAGGGAAGUCCCAAGAUUUUCUAAGACUAAAGGAGAUCUCUGUUAUGGAUUAAAUGUUUGUGACCCCCUCCGAAAAUUCAUAUACUGAAGCCCUCACCACCUAGUGUGACUGUAUU